rnacentral:rRNA from 1 species
AUUGAACGCUGGCGGCAGGCCUAACACAUGCAAGUCGAGCGGGGUUUUCGGACCUAGCGGCGGACGGGUGAGUAAUGCGUAGGAAGCUACCCGAUAGAGGGGGAUACCAGUUGGAAACGACUGUUAAUACCGCAUAAUGUCUACGGACCAAAGUGUGGGACCUUCGGGCCACAUGCUAUCGGAUGCGCCUACGUGGGAUUAGCUAGUUGGUGGGGUAAUGGCUCACCAAGGCGACGAUCCCUAGCUGGUUUGAGAGGAUGAUCAGCCACACUGGAACUGAGACAGGGUCCAGACUCCUACGGGAGGCAGCAGUGGGGAAUAUUGGACAAUGGGCGCAAGCCUGAUCCAGCCAUGCCGCGUGUGUGAAGAAGGCCUUCGGGUUGUAAAGCACUUUCAGUAGGGAGGAAGGGUGUUGUGUUAAUAGCACAGCAUUUUGACGUUACCUACAGAAGAGGCACCGGCUAACUCUGUGCCAGCCGCCGCAGUAAAAC